ensembl:misc_RNA Y_RNA Y RNA
GGCUGGUCAGAUGGCAGUGGGUUAUUGGAACUUAUUAACAUUAGUGUCACUAAAGUUGGUAUACCACCCCCCCCCCCACUGCUAAAUUUGACUGGCUUUAA